rnacentral:rRNA from 1 species
GGAUUAGAUACCCUGGUAGUCCACGCCGUAAACGAUGAGCACUAGGUGCAGCGGAUAUUGACCUCUGCUGUGCCGUAGCUAACGCGUUAAGUGCUCCGCCUGGGGAGUACGGCCGCAAGGCUAAAACUCAAAGGAAUUGACGGGGGCCCGCACAAGCAGUGGAGCAUGUGGUUUAAUUCGACGCAACGCGCAGAACCUUACCCGGGCUAGAAAAACUGAGAAUCCCGAAGAGACUCGGGAGUGCUCGCAAGAGAACUCAGGUCCAGGUGCUGCAUGGCUGUCGUCAGCUCGUGCCG